rnacentral:rRNA from 1 species
GGAUUGUAGGCUGCAACCCGCCUACAUGAAGUUGGAAUUGCUAGUAAUCGCAGAUCAGAAUGCUGCGGUGAAUACGUUCCCGGGCCUUGUACACACCGCCCGUCACACCAUGGGAGCCGGUAAUACCCGAAGUCAGUAGUCUAACCGCAAGGGGGACGCUGCCGAAGGUAGGAUUGGCGACUGGGGUGAAGUCGUAACAAGGUACC